rnacentral:rRNA from 1 species
GAUCAUGGCUCAGGAUGAACGCUAGCUACAGGCUUAACACAUGCAAGUCGAGGGGCAGCAUGGUCUUAGCUUGCUAAGGCCGAUGGCGACCGGCGCACGGGUGAGUAACACGUAUCCAACCUGCCGUCUACUCUUGGACAGCCUUCUGAAAGGAAGAUUAAUACAAGAUGGCAUCAUGAGUUCACAUGUCCGCAUGAUUAAAGGUAUUUUCCGGUAGACGAUGGGG